rnacentral:rRNA from 1 species
UACGUAGGGUGCAGGCGUUAAUCGGAAUUACUGGGCGUAAAGCGUACGCAGGCGGUUUGCUAAGACAGGUGUGAAAUCCCCGGGCUUAACCUGGGAACUGCGCUUGUUACUGGCAAGCUAGAGUGUGGCAGAGGGGGGUAGAAUUCCAGGUGUAGCAGUGAAAUGCGUAGAUAUCUGGAGGAACACCUGUGGCGAAAGCGGCGCACUGGACCACAUCUGACGCUGAGGCGCGAAAGCUAGGGGAGCAAACAGG